CCCACGUCGCUCCUUCGGGCUGAGCCUGGCCGGGCCCCGUGGGGUAAGGCCCGGCCACCAGGCGCUCGCAUGCGAGCCCCAACCCCGGGCCUGGCUCCAGGGUGGGGCCCCGGUUGCACCAAACCGGGCGACAUCAUGGACCUUGUUUUAGUUUUCUUCAUAAGGGUUUUUGAACCGCUCUUUGUCUGGUCUGUCACCUAGGACCUGUUUGCCUUGGGAGACCCUACCAGGGGCAGAAAGCCCCAGACAACAUAGCUCCUAGGAUCAUUCAGGCACGCAAACCCCUCCACCACAAUAAGGUGGCGGUUCAAGGAGGGGCGGAGCUUAAACCGUUACCACAUAGUAUGGAUCAGGCCGAUUUAGCUGCUAGAAGUAAUUCGACUACCUCUUUGGGUCCCGGGAGUGAACAGAAUUCUGAGGACUCAGGACAGCACAGAACAGGAACAGGACAACAGAACAGGAGUCUGGCUUUAGUACUGAGGAUGGCCCAUUGGAUCACUCUGUAGACCAGCUAAUUAAGGAAUCAGAAAUGUCUGACCCCGUUAGGCGUUCUACAUGCAGUACAGCAGGCCAGCACUCAAAUCCUUUUUGUCUGCCUCAAGCUGUGACACAGAAUGUUACCCCCAGGAUAGGAGAAGUCAGUUCUCUGCUCACCCCCUUUAGACCUUGGCAGUAGUGAUGUAGGUUGAGUAUUCACCGGGACGGUGAUCAUUAAGGCAGGGGUGUAUGUAGUAGGGUCAGUAGGGGGUGCCGUUGAGCUAUUUUUCCUCAUUGCGUCACCCGCAGCUGGGUGGAUUUGCCUUUAUAUACGCCACUUCCGGCGGAUACGGCGCGCUGUUCAACUGUUUGUCCUUCCAGCGACGAGCAACCACAUGCGCGCCAAAGUGUUGGUAGGUCUUUUUUUAAAUAGUAGUAUUUAAGAGAGUUGGAUGCGUUUAUUGAUUUAUUUUUUUUGUUACUAGUAUGUUCUGGGUAUUGCUGUCACAACUGUAUUCAGUUACUACACUCUACUUGUAAAUGCUGUCGGGCUGGUAUUGGAUGCUGCAUUUAAUUUUAUAUAUGUGGCGUGAACGCUGCUGUUACCCAUACUGGUCGAGAGGGGUGAACACUGAGAUUUGUGCAGCACACUGCAUUCUAUUAUAUGUGUGCAUUUUAGAUAUUGUUGACAGUUAAUACUGACGGUGAACACUGAAAAGACCUAUCAGCGGUGAUUAAACUGCUUUAUAAAUCCUUGUGCAUGUGUAUGACAGUUAAAGGGUUUUAUAGGUGACAUACAGCCUUAUAAACACUGGGUUAACCUGCAACCAUAAAUGAAGCAGUGAGGUUGAGUCAGAGUUAGGGCUCACUGCAGAACAUUCGAGUUCUUCACUCCAACCUUCACACACUGUGUCUUCAUCUGUGCUUUAUGUACAGAGACGUUGUCAUGAGGGAACAGGGUUUGUGUUCUGGCCAAUUACCAGCAAAAGUAAUCAAUUCAAUGAAGAAGAUUCUGAAAGUCCAGGGUUGUGAUGCCAAAAAAAGACUUUAUUCUGAAACUGAUUCCAUGGAAGCAAGAAAUAAGUCAAUGUGUGCUCUGUUUUAUACCUUUUCCUAACAGCCAAACCUAAGCCCACUUUUUUCUUUGCAAGCCUUCUCAUGAUUUGCUCUCAUCAUCAUCUCUGAAACCCUCAGGAACUGUCCAACUUUAUAACAGAAUGGUGGUGCAGCAAAUCUUUUUAAAAACAUAACAC